CGUAUCUCGAGUCGCACAGAAAAUCACGGCGAUAUUAGUCACCUUAGGGAGUGUCCACAUGGGAUCUCUCUUCCUUCCUGGCCCGGAGUUAUUCCCGUUCGAGAUUUUAUAUGUACACGCCAUCUCUAUAAUCUUCGAGCUCAGUGAAUUGUUUCGAUACAUAUCGAAUGGUCGUUCCCAAUUGUCGUGGACAGUGGUAACGUGGAACGAGAGAUUGAGAAAAAAGUUGCACGAGAGCGAGCUAGCCGUUCACACUCGUAAGGUAGAAGAACGUGGUUGGUAAGGCAGAAGCGUUUCGACCCGGUGUUACCGGCUGAACUCGUCAGUGAGGCUCGGCGGCCGAUAAUACCUGCCUCCUCGGAAUGGUCCGGCCGCUAUGCGGAUUGCGGGCUUUAUAUAUUAAUUCAAAGAGCGAGUUUUCUGCCGCUUGGAAAUGGCCGACACUAUCUAAGAUGGCGUGGACAUACAAAAACUCGGACGGCGACGUCCUCGGACUCCUCGGGAUCGGGAAGAAAGAAGGAUCCCAUGUGGACACUCCAUUACCUCAGCCAGCAGACUAUCAAAAUUAAAAAAAAUACCAGUCGAAUUAUCUAUAACUGCAUCCUUUAAAUAUGCUAA